UAACGGCGAGUGAAGCGGCAACAGCUCAAAUUUGAAAUCUGGCGUCUUUGGGCGUCCGAGUUGUAAUUUGCAGAGGAUGCUUUUGGCAACGUACCUUCCGAGUUCCCUGGAACGGGACGCCAUAGAGGGUGAGAGCCCCGUACGGUCUGGUGCCGAGCCGCUGUAAAGCUCCUUCGACGAGUCGAGUAGUUUGGGAAUGCUGCUCUAAAUGGGAGGUAAACUCCUUCUAAAGCUAAAUAUUGGCCAGAGACCGAUAGCGCACAAGUAGAGUGAUCGAAAGAUGAAAAGCACUUUGAAAAGAGAGUUAAAUAGCACGUGAAAUUGUUGAAAGGGAAGCGCUUAUGACCAGACUUGGGCUUGGUGGUUCAGCCGUCCUUCUGGGCGGUGCAUUCUGCCGGUUCAGGCCAGCAUCAGUUGCCGGUGGGGGAGAAAAAUAGCGAGAAUGUGGCUCUUCGGAGUGUUAUAGCUCGCUAUCAUACCCUCCCAGCGACUGAGGUUAGCGUUCUUCACGGAUGCUGGCGUAAUGGUUAUCAGCGACCCGUCUUGAAACACGGACCAAGGAGUCGUCCUGCUAUGCGAGUGUUUGGGUGUUAAGCCCCUACGCGAAAUGAAAGUGAACGGAGGUGAGAGCUUCGGCGCAUCAUCGACCGAUCCUGAUGUUCUCGGAUGGAUUUGAGUAAGAGCAUAGCGGGCCGGUCCCGAAAGAAGGUGAACUAUGCUUGGAUAGGGCAAAGCCAGAGGAAACUCUGGUGGAGGCUCGCAGCGGUUCUGACGUGCAAAUCGAUCGUCAAAUCUGAGCAUGGGGGCGAAAGACUAAUCGAACCUUCUAGUAGCUGGUUUCCACCGAAGUUUCCCUCAGGAUAGCAGUGCUGAUUCUCAGUUUUAUGAGGUAAAGCGAAUGAUUAGGGACUCGGGGGCGCUAUUUAGCCUUCAUCCAUUCUCAAACUUUAAAUAUGUAAGAAGCCUUUGUUGCUUUAGUGAACGAAGGCA
rnacentral:rRNA from 1 species